AUUCUCUUGCCUCAGCCUCCCAAGUAACUGGGACUACAGUUCUCCUGUGACAUCCAGUCAGACCCUAGUUCUUCUCCCAAACACUCCAGUUGUGAAUAUUUCUCUGAAAGUCUUCCACAGAACUGAACACUCAUCUCCAGUUGCUGUAAAAUCAGUGAAGAUUGCAUUGUACAUUAUAUUCCAUGUAUUACUGUUAAUUCUAAGCUAAUGCAGAAAAACAGGAGCCACUUUUUAUAAUCAUCUCCCUCUAACCAUUGAAGGUUCUAGCCAUUUAUAUGAUGAAGAUACGUAUAUAUACAUAUUCAUUAAUUGUCUGAACUCUAAUGAUUGUCAACUAAAGUCAAAUAUUUCCCUGAGGCACUGAUUAUCUACUAUGUGCCAGCCAGUGAACCAAAUAAAGUUCUUAAUCUGA